UAUUGGUGCACAACUGCACUCAGAAAGUCAAAAUUGAAAGGGUGAGAGAUUGAUUGGUUAUGUUAUUGCAAUAUUAAAAUGUGAACGUAUAAGAUUUAUUGGUUGUAUAAGAUUGCUUUAUUCAUAGUAUUGUUAUUGUUUGUCAUGUUCUGUGACAUUGAUUCUUAUAUGGGUUUGUGUAAUUUCUCUUGAUCUGUUAAUAUGUUUUGCAAUUUUAUAUGGGUUGAUAGAAGUAAAUUUUCAAAUUGGUUUGUGUUUGGGAAUUUUGUGGAUACACUGUUGUUUCAAAAUACAAAAUUAUAGGGUAAUUUUGACUUUCAAGUUUUUUUUUCUUUUGGCUUUCUAUGACUAGGUAUUUGGUAAUCUACCAAAUUCUUCGUCAAUCGCUCGAUUCCUCCAAUUACGGAGAAUUUGAAGAAAGGUGUGUUACAUGCCGAUGGGUAGAAAUUUAUGGGGAAACUUUCAGAUGAGUAAACAGGUAGAAUCUUGAAGCUGGGGUGCCAGAACUGAUGGAACGGAAAGCGAUUAUUGAUGGAGUUAUGGCUGGACACUUCCGUCUAGAGAACGUUUGAAAUAAAUAGCAGAAAAGGAGGAAUAUGAAUAAUUACAAGGAAUGCAGAGCUCCAUUUAGAAAUCCUACACAUCAGAAGCAACAUAUGCAAGGUUGGCCCUUACUGUUCAGAUCACGUUCUUCAGAGAAACACAAGCCAAGCCAAGCCACGGUGUUCGGGUACCCACUGUUUUUCUUACCCUUUUGCUGCCACAGUUCCAAGUCAUCAAGUCCGAUAAUAUAUUGAAAACUAGCUUCUCCAUUGCCAUCUUGCAGAUAAACAAAAUUUGAUUUUCAAGUUGCAGCUUUUCAGUCUAGGUGCAUUCCAAUCACUUUGCGUAUCAGAAGGUUCCGAAACCGUCAAAGAGAGAACUUAUUCAAACGGAAUCACUAUUCAAUGUAAAGACGAGGAAGAAAGUAGCGCCUUUCAUGGUGCAUUUGAGCAAUGGAAAAGUAAAGCGGUUACUCAAGUUUACCAAAUGGAAUGGUUUCUUCUUCUAAAAGCAAGUUUGAUGAUAAAAUAGAAGCAUCUUCUGCUAAAAUGUAUUUCCAUUACUACGGGCAUCAGCAAAAUAUGAUGCAGGAUUAUGUGAGAACAAGUCAAUAUAUAUCGCUUUCUUUUUCUUUUUUGAGUCGCAUUGUGCUUAUUAAAGCACGGGUCAAAUGAACACAUUUGGGAUUUUAUGGAGCUGAAUUACACGAUAAAUGUUUUUUCUAGGUUCCUACUAUGCUGCGGCGGUUAUUGAGAAUAAAGUCAAUAGCUGGUGAUAUUUUCAAGUUGUUUUAGUAUUUGUGUAGUCUCGCAACUUGGAGAUUAAUCACUUAAUCAGUUAACCAAGUUAAUUCACUAUUCGUGAGUAUUUUAUUCAUAUAACUUCAAGCCUUUUACGACGUUCACCUGUCAAUCACAGUAAGUGUCAAAUGGGUCGAAUCAGUUAUACGGGUUGAAAAUUUCAACCUGUUCACUUAGAAAAAUAUUAGCUAAUAAUGAGUCAAGUCAGUCAGUCGGUCAAACAAGUCAAAUAAAAAGUUCACACAAGUUAAAAUUUCAACUAGGUUAGUUAUAAGUUGGUCAUUUUUUGUUAUGGGUUUUUUUUCUAUAAAACAUGUCAAGCAAAAUAGAUUAGCAAAAGCGGCAACUUAAACAAGUCAAAACAGUUCAAUCCAGCCCUGUUUCAACUUCCACUAAAGUUAGCUUUUUUGACCCAUUGUCCAACUGUACCCAGUUUUUCACCUCUAGAAACAGGUAUUAGUCUUAUGUGCCCUUGAUUAAGUUAAAGAAAUAUAAACUAAUAGAUUAAGAAAAAGAGUUCACCAUAUGACCUUUUACACACUCCUUGACUAUGAACUCUUUUUUAUAUGUUGAUAUGAACUAUCGAGGCCUACCAAUCUUCAAGAUUUGAGCAUAUUUAAAUGUUUUCUAACAAUGGCUGCACUUCUUCAGAUAAUGCAAAUCACAAGGUAUGAGGAAUCAAUUCUUUUAGUAAUGAUUUAAUCAAGAACAAGUUAAUAUUUUAUAUGAAUGCCCCUAAUUUAGUCAUGUUUCAUUUUAACUUUUAUAUAAAAAAUAUUACGUUUAUUUUGGUUUACAACAGUGAUAUAAUAUUUUGCUAUCAUCUUGAUGAUGCAUUCAAGGGAACCAAUUUUGAUGUAAAGAGCCCCUCUUUUCUACUGGUGACUUUCUACGUACAUGACCUAUUGGUCACCGGGUUCAAGUCAAAGACAUUCCCCCGUCAGUCCCGCACUCUCGGACGCGAUUUUCGAUUGGGCCCCGGCCGCCGCGCAAGCUGACUUCCGCCCGGAAACCAUACUGCCCUCACACGAGAGACUCGCUGGGGUAACAGCUG
rnacentral:lncRNA from 1 species